rnacentral:rRNA from 1 species
CGGGUGAGUAACACGUAGAUAAUCUACCUUCAAGCCUGGGAUAACUAUUCGAAAGGAUGGCUAAUACCGGAUAAAGUUUAUUGACAUAAGUUGGUUUAUGAAAGAUUGCCUCUUCUUGAAAGCAAUUGUUUGGAGAUGAGUUUGCGGACCAUUAGUUUGUUGGUGGGGUAAAGGCCUACCAAGACUACGAUGGUUAGCUGGUCUGAGAGGAUGAUCAGCCACACUGGAACUGGUACACGGUCCAGACUCC